UAAACAGGCACCCUUUGUGGCUUGGAAACCAGGAGAUUUAGGAAAGAUAUUUGAGGUCUGUAGUUUAAAACCUAUCUCACUUAAUUCAGAGUGUGUGCUGUGAAGAUAGAGACAGAGUCUCACUGAGUUGCUUAGCACCUCACUGUUGCUGCAGCUGGC